CCUACGGGAGGCUGCAGUCGAGAAUCAUUCACAAUGGCGGAAACCCUGAUGGUGCGACGCCGCGUGGGGGAAUGAAGGUCUUCGGAUUGUAAACCCCUGUCAUGUGGGAGCAAAUUAAAAAGAUAGUACCACAAGAGGAAGAGCCGGCUAACUCUGUGCCAGCAGCCGCGGUAAUACAGGGGUCUAAAGAGUUGUUCGGAAUCACUGGGCGUAAAGCGUGCGUAGGCUGUUUCGUAAGUCGUGUGUGAAAGGCGCGGGCUCAACCCGCGGAGGGCACAUGCUACUGGGAGACUAGAGUAAGGGAGAGGGAAGCGGAAUGCGCGGUGUAGCAGUGAAAUGCGUAGAUAUCGAGAGGAACACUCGUGGCGAAGGCGGGGUCCUGGACAGUAACUGACGCUGAGGCACGAAGGCCAGGGGAGCGAAAGGGAUUAGAUACCCCUGUAGUC
rnacentral:rRNA from 1 species